rnacentral:rRNA from 1 species
UACGUAGGGGGCAAGCGUUACUCGGAUUCACUGGGCGUAAAGCGCGUGUAGGCGGCUGGUCAAGCGUGGUGUGAAAUCUCCGGGCUCAACCCGGAAACUGCACCGCGAACUGGCCUGGCUGGAGUGCAGGAGAGGGAAGGGGAAUUCCCGGUGUAGCAGUGAAAUGCGUAGAGAUCGGGAGGAACAUCUGUGGCGAAGGCGACUGCCUGGACCAGCACUGACACUGAGGCACGAAAGCGUGGGGAGCAAACAGG